rnacentral:rRNA from 1 species
UCCAGAGGUCCCAAGCGUUGUUCGGAUUCACUGGGCGUAAAGGGUGCGUAGGUGGUGAGGUAAGUCGGAUGUGAAAUCUCCGAGCUCAACUCGGAAAUGGCAUUGGAAACUACCUUGCUCGAGGGUUGGAGGGGGGACUGGAAUGCUUGGUGUAGCAGUGAAAUGCGUAGAUAUCAAGCGGAACACCAGUGGCGAAGGCGAGUCCCUGGACAACUCCUGACACUGAGGCACGAAAGCUAGGGGAGCAAACAGG